UUUAAGUGCGUUAGGGAUUGAAGCAUUUGUUUGAGCUCUCCCGAUUUUUUUUAUCGGGAAGCGAGUGCGGAAAGCCCGACCCUUG
rnacentral:misc_RNA from 1 species